AGAGUUUGAUCCUGGCUCAGGACGAACGCUGGCGGCGUGCCUAAUACAUGCAAGUAGAACGCUGAAGAGAGGAGCUUGCUCUUCUUGGAUGAGUUGCGAACGGGUGAGUAACGCGUAGGUAACCUGCCUUGUAGCGGGGGAUAACUAUUGGAAACGAUAGCUAAUACCGCAUAACAAUGGAUGACACAUGUCAUUUAUUUGAAAGGGGCAAUUGCUCCACUACAAGAUGGACCUGCGUUGUAUUAGCUAGUAGGUGAGGUAAUGGCUCACCUAGGCGACGAUACAUAGCCGACCUGAGAGGGUGAUCGGCCACACUGGGACUGAGACACGGCCCAGACUCCUACGGGAGGCAGCAGUAGGGAAUCUUCGGCAAUGGGGGCAACCCUGACCGAGCAACGCCGCGUGAGUGAAGAAGGUUUUCGGAUCGUAAAGCUCUGUUGUAAGUCAAGAACGGGUGUGAGAGUGGAAAGUUCACACUGUGACGGUAGCUUACCAGAAAGGGACGGCUAACUACGUGCCAGCAGCCGCGGUAAUACGUAGGUCCCGAGCGUUGUCCGGAUUUAUUGGGCGUAAAGCGAGCGCAGGCGGUUUGAUAAGUCUGAAGUUAAAGGCUGUGGCUCAACCAUAGUUCGCUUUGGAAACUGUCAAACUUGAGUGCAGAAGGGGAGAGUGGAAUUCCAUGUGUAGCGGUGAAAUGCGUAGAUAUAUGGAGGAACACCGGUGGCGAAAGCGGCUCUCUGGUCUGUAACUGACGCUGAGGCUCGAAAGCGUGGGGAGCGAACAGGAUUAGAUACCCUGGUAGUCCACGCCGUAAACGAUGAGUGCUAGGUGUUGGAUCCUUUCCGGGAUUCAGUGCCGCAGCUAACGCAUUAAGCACUCCGCCUGGGGAGUACGACCGCAAGGUUGAAACUCAAAGGAAUUGACGGGGGCCCGCACAAGCGGUGGAGCAUGUGGUUUAAUUCGAAGCAACGCGAAGAACCUUACCAGGUCUUGACAUCCCGAUGCUAUUUCUAGAGAUAGGAAGUUACUUCGGUACAUCGGUGACAGGUGGUGCAUGGUUGUCGUCAGCUCGUGUCGUGAGAUGUUGGGUUAAGUCCCGCAACGAGCGCAACCCCUAUUGUUAGUUGCCAUCAUUCAGUUGGGCACUCUAGCGAGACUGCCGGUAAUAAACCGGAGGAAGGUGGGGAUGACGUCAAAUCAUCAUGCCCCUUAUGACCUGGGCUACACACGUGCUACAAUGGUUGGUACAACGAGUUGCGAGUCGGUGACGGCGAGCUAAUCUCUUAAAGCCAAUCUCAGUUCGGAUUGUAGGCUGCAACUCGCCUACAUGAAGUCGGAAUCGCUAGUAAUCGCGGAUCAGCACGCCGCGGUGAAUACGUUCCCGGGCCUUGUACACACCGCCCGUCACACCACGAGAGUUUGUAACACCCGAAGUCGGUGAGGUAACCUUUUGGAGCCAGCCGCCUAAGGUGGGACAGAUGAUUGGGGUGAAGUCGAAACAAGGUA
rnacentral:rRNA from 1 species